AGAGUUUGAUCAUGGCUCAGGAUGAACGCUGGCGGCGUGCCUAAUACAUGCAAGUCGAGCGGUAAGGCUUGGCACAGUUUGCUUCUCACGUUUCACCCAGGUGGAACAGCGGGUUCUGUUGGCUAACAGAUCACGAGCAAGGAGCAUAGUGUGCUGAGUACACGAGCGGCGGACGGCUGAGUAACACGUAGGAACGUACCCCAAACUGAGGGAUAAGCACCAGAAAUGGUGUCUAAUACCGCAUGUGCUCUAAGGAGUAAAGCUUCGGCGGUUUGGGAACGGCCUGCGCAUGAUUAGCUUGUUGGUGAGGUAAAAGCUCACCAAGGCGACGAUCAUUAGCUGGUCUGAGAGGAUGACCAGCCAGACUGGGACUGAGAACGGCCCAGACUCCUACGGGAGGCAGCAGUAGGGAAUUUUCCACAAUGGGCGAAAGCCUGAUGGAGCAACGCCGCGUGCAGGAUGAAGGCCUUCGGGUCGUAAACUGCUUUUAUCUGUGAAGAUUUUGACGGUAGCAGAUGAAUAAGGAUCGGCUAACUCCGUGCCAGCAGCCGCGGUCAUACGGAGGAUCCAAGCGUUAUCCGGAAUUACUGGGCGUAAAGAGUUGCGUAGGUGGCAGGAUAAGUUGGUAGUGAAAUUGUGUGGCUCAACCAUACACCCAUUACUAAAACUAUUCAGCUAGAGGGCGAGAGAGGUAGCUAGAAUUCCUAGUGUAGGAGUGGAAUCCGUAGAUAUUAGGAGGAAUACCGAUGGCGUAGGCAGGCUACUGGCUCGUCCCUGACACUAAGGCACGAAAGCGUGGGGAGCGACCGGGAUUAGAUACCCCGUUAGUCCACGCCGUAAACUAUGGAUGCUAGCUGUACACCGUAUCGACCCGGUGUGUAGUGAAGCUAACGCGUUAAGCAUCCCGCCUGUGGAGUACGGUCGCAAGACUAAAACAUAAAGGAAUUGACGGGGACCCGCACAAGCGGUGGAGCGUGUUCUUUAAUUCGAUGGUAAGCGAAGAACCUUACCCAGGUUUGACAUCCUUGGAAUUUCUCCGAAAGGAGAGAGUGCUUUAUUGAGCCAAGUGACAGGUGAUGCAUGGCCGUCGUCAGCUCGUGUCG
rnacentral:rRNA from 1 species